rnacentral:lncRNA from 1 species
AGUUUUUGGCUUACUUUUUGGCGGAGUCUCUUGGACACGUUUUUGCUGGUGCUGGAAGAUCAGAUACAUGGAACCUUUGAAAACUGAUUAUUUUUCUCCGAUAUGACUUAAAAAAAAAUAAAAAGAAGAAAAGAAAAUAGAGUAGUGCACGGCAAGCUAGAGGAUUGUAAAUUUUCCUUGGUGAACUUUGAGGAUCCAUAAAGAAGAAACCAAAUGAAGUGUUUACUGUCAUUAUCCGUAUUUGAUGAAGAGGAUACUGAGGCUCAAAGAGAAUUAAUAAUUUGUUCAAGACCGUCUAAUGUGGAGUAAUCAAGAGUGAAUGCCCUGAAAGUACACACCCCAGCCUGGACCAGCAUUCUUUUUUUUUUUUUUUUUUUUUUUUUUGAGAGGAAAAACUACAGAGACAGAGUAGCAGCAGAAAUGGUUCUCUUUACUGCGAGGCUGCAAGGUCACCCAAUGAGAGAGGGGCCAAAUAAGCUGGAACAUCAUCUAAUACACUGAAUGUAGGAGUUACUGGAAAAGCAAGAAUAACUUAUGCGGAUUAACAAUAUGGAAACAUCCU